rnacentral:lncRNA from 1 species
UUCCUAUUUUCUAAAUUACAACUAGAACUAACUAGAACUAGAACUAGAGGAACUAGAACUAGAACUAGAUGAACUAGAACUAGAUCUAGAUGAACUAGAGGUAGAACUAGAAGAACUAGAGGGAUCCUCUCUACUUGGAUGAAGAAUUGAAACCCUUGCUUUGAUUCUGUAGAAGAGGUAUGAUCUCCAGGGGCCAGGGGGGUCUGGUUUUAUAGUCCCUUCAAAUGAAUCUGGGCCGUCGGAUCAAAC